GACGAACGCUGGCGGCGUGCUUAACACAUGCAAGUCGAGCGAUGAAGUUCCUUCGGGAUGGAUUAGCGGCGGACGGGUGAGUAACACGUGGGUAACCUGCCUCAUAGAGGGGAAUAGCCUUCCGAAAGGAAGAUUAAUACCGCAUAAGAUUGUAGUAUCGCAUGAUACAGCAAUUAAAGGAGUAAUUCGCUAUGAGAUGGACCCGCGUCGCAUUAGCUAGUUGGUGAGGUAACGGCUCACCAAGGCGACGAUGCGUAGCCGACCUGAGAGGGUGAUCGGCCACAUUGGGACUGAGACACGGCCCAGACUCCUACGGGAGGCAGCAGUGGGGAAUAUUGCACAAUGGGGGAAACCCUGAUGCAGCAACGCCGCGUGAGUGAUGACGGUCUUCGGAUUGUAAAGCUCUGUCUUCAGGGACGAUAAUGACGGUACCUGAGGAGGAAGCCACGGCUAACUACGUGCCAGCAGCCGCCGCCG
rnacentral:rRNA from 1 species